UCACAAUCAAGUUAUGACAGUGGCGUAUAUGUUCUACAGUUACUAUUGUCGUAUGAUGGCAUGACUCACUUCCAUUUCAAGCAAGAACAUGCCAAACGACUGUGCGAAUCACUCACUUACUACUUAUGCACUCAUGAGGAAAACCAACUUAUCAUGCCUGAAAUAAGACAAAUUGUUGAACAACACGGCAUUCAACUUGAUAACUACGCAGCAAGAGUAAAAAAGGUAUGCCCG